UACGUAGGGCGCAAGCGUUGUCCGGAAUUAUUGGGCGUAAAGAGCUCGUAGGUGGUUUGCUACGUCCGCUGUGAAAACCUAGGGCUUAACCCUGGGCCUGCAGUGGAUACGGGCAGACUAGAGGUAGGUAGGGGAGAAUGGAAUUCCCGGUGUAGCGGUGAAAUGCGCAGAUAUCGGGAGGAACACCUGUGGCGAAAGCGGCUCACUGGACCAUAACUGACGCUGAUGCACGAAAGCUGGGGGGAGCAAACAGG
rnacentral:rRNA from 1 species